rnacentral:rRNA from 1 species
UACAUAUGGGGCAAGCGUUGUUCGGAAUUACUGGGCGUAAAGCGUGCGCAGGCGGUUUUGCAAGUCAGAUGUGAAAUCCCCGGGCUUAACCUGGGAAUGGCAUUUGGGACUGCAAGGCUGGAGUGUGGCAGAGGAGACUGGAAUUCCCGGUGUAGCAGUGAAAUGCGUAGAUAUCGGGAGGAAUACCGAUGGCGAAGGCAGGUCUCUGGGCUGACACUGACGCUCAUGCACGAAAGCGUGGGGAGCAAACAGG